rnacentral:rRNA from 1 species
GACGAACGCUGGCGGCGUGCUUAACACAUGCAAGUCGAACGAUGAACCCGGAGCUUGCUCCGGUGGAUUAGUGGCGAACGGGUGAGUAACACGUGAGUAACCUGCCCUUGACUCUGGGAUAACUGCGGGAAACUGUAGCUGAUACCGGAUACGACCCUCGGCGGCAUCGCCAGGGGGUGGAAAGAAUUUCGGUCAAGGAUGGACUCGCGGCCUAUCAGCUAGUUGGUGAGGUAACGGCUAACCAAGGCGGCGACGGGUAGCCGGCCUGAGAGGGUGACCGGCCACACUGGGACUGAGACACGGCCCAGACUCCUACGGGAGGCAGCAGUGAGGAAUUUUCCACAAUGGGCGAAAGCCUGAUGGAGCGACGCCGCGUGAAGGAUGAAGCUUUUCGGAGUGUAAACUUCUUUUAUGUGGGAAGAUUAUGACGGUACCACAUGAAUAAGGACCGGCUAACUACGUGCCAGCAGCCGCAGUAA